AAAGCUGCAGGCACAGGGGCGCCGCUCUACGGCUUUGGAGACCACUGCACCGGUCCUCCGGGCUGGGCCGGCGCGCGCUGCGCGCUCCUCGCCUUCACCCGGGUCUCCGGGUCUCCCCGGCUCCGACGGGCUCCGGCCUCGGCCCCCCGCUCCGGCUUGCCUUUCCUGCCGGGUCUCCUGGCACAGGCUCGGCUCCUGCGGCGGCGGCCACGCGCUCUCCGCUCCGCGCCGGGGUCCUGGGCACUCUCCCUGGGCCCCGCCGCUCGCAGGCUGGGACUGGGGAUUGAGGGUGGGCAGCGGCCAGGGGAGCGGGGCAGGUGGGGAGCCGCGGGCGCGCGGGAGGGAGGGGGCGACAGAGGGAGCCCAAGGAAAAAAGAUGCAUCUGCUCUGAAAGCGCCAAUGAAGGAAGGACGGAGGGGGCAGGAGCGGAGAGCGGAGAGAACGCCCACCAGGAGGGGUGGCGAGACGGGCAGUUUACAAACUGCCAGGGCUGGAGGAGCCCCGCGAGGAAGGAAGGAGGUUGGGAGGAGAGAAGGAAACCCAAGAGGAAGAUCUCAUUUCCCCCCGAAAAGAUCAGGAGCCACCUGCUUCGAUAUGCGGUAUUCCCGAGGAGAUUUAGAGGGAAAAGAAAAAACUGAAAAGAAAAAAAAAAAAAAAAACCCUAAACACACACUUGAAACUGGAAGACGCCUAAGACGCGUGGAAACGGAGAGGGCGAGAAGAUCUCCCGGGGCUACAGAUCUGUCAGCUAACCACCUUCAACUGUCUGUGUUAACUACCUGCCUCUGGUGACUUUGGCUUGAGUACAACUGAUGACUACCAACAGGAGGUCAAAGAAACAAAAAAGGGGGAGAAAUUCUCUUCAUGGUCAAGGUAAAAUAGCA
rnacentral:lncRNA from 1 species